CCGCCCACCCUGAAGGGUGUCCCGGCUGGUUGGAGGAACAAAGCUCUUCUGUGGAUGCCCACCGCAAGGAGACCCAAGAGUCACUGAAUCUAUUUGAACAUCAAAGGAAGAUUAUGUUUAUUAAAGAGGAAGGCCCUGAAGUUGGUUUUUCUUGGCUCUGGGACUAAAUGGAGCGAACACCUGGUCCAGAUUUGCUUUCAUCCUUCUUCUCUAAGCAACUCAUUCCUGAUGGAAAAUAUGCUGACACCAUGUAGGCCCACACCAAAGAGAAGGAAAUGCUUGCGUUUAUUCUGUCUCUUUGAUUUCAUUUGUGCCUCCUGAAGGUGAGGUCAGCCCAGACAAGCCUCAUCCGGUACUUCAUGGCAUGGAAAACGGUUUGGCCCGGCUGACUGCACGAUGAUCACAGUGCAACAGGACCCUGGCCGCAGCCCGUGAAGCAGGGUGCUGUGUUUCUGAAGACAGUUUGCGUUGCAAAAGAGCAACUCAGAGCUGCACCGAGAUUCAACCUCCAAAACAUGGGGGUGACCAGCCCUGUGUACACCUGCUCUUCAAGGUGGAGUUAUGCUUCUCAUCUGUAACUGACCGACUUGCAUUCUGCCUCAGUCCCACCCGUUCCAACUUUGAGUGAGCUGCUGCAUCCUGAUCCUCUCUGCUGUUUUCAUCCUGCAUUCAUCCAGUGGCGUGCCGGAGUCAGCCUGACUGGCUCAAGAAAGCGAUUGUGCAUAGCUCUUCCCAAUGUCAUGUCAGAUAACAUGACGUUGGUAGCCUGAAAUCAGUCACGGGAGACUGAUUCAGUGGAAAAGAAAGACUUCUGGGCUCACCUAUGAAAGCUACGUCUCGGCUCCAACAGGUUCAACUGUCAACUAAAGUAUCCAAGGCAAAUGGACCCUUCACCGCUUUCUUCACAACAGAAUAUGGGCUCAGAUAUUCUGAACCAAUUACAUUUUUGGCAACACCAUCAAAGCUCAACCUAAAAUUGUCUUGGGAGAGCUGAAAUAAGGGCAAAACCCUGGAGAACUAUUAUGAAAGCACUGACGGUCAAGGGGAUACAUUUUAAUACCCCCAGCAAAGCUUCCUCUUGGGUUAGUUCUGAGCCAAAUGAAUCAUGGCUGUAUUGGAUUUCCAGCUGAAUCGAUUUCCCCAUGUGAGUAUGGCAGUCCUCUGAGAGACAUCAACCAACAGGAAGGAUCCCAUGAAUGAGGGCCAAGGUAGCUCUUCACCCUGCUGGCCAAUGAGGGGCUCCCUAAGGUGAGAGCACAUCCUGAACAAGAUCUGGAAAAAUCUAUAGUCCCUAAUAUUUGGUCAUCUUGUCCCUGACACAAGAUGAGAUUCCAUCUGGCGAAGUCAACCUUGGAAUUUCCAUUUGUGAAAUAUUGGUGAUCACAAAUCUUCACCUCCCUCCUGAAA